UUCAGGGAACAAGCUUUUAUGCUGAAAGUGCGAAGCAUUACUGAAGGUAUAGUCAGUGUAGAAAUCCAUAAGCAAGUGGGAAAAAUACACAAUUGAUUGAAGGCCAAGUGGUCACCAUUUACCCCUUACGGUCUCAGAGCCAUAGUCACGAAUGGGGGUGGUGGAGGGAAACCGCUGAAGUACUUCUUCUUGGAUAACAUCUGGCGGCUUCGGCGAUGUGAGCCCUUGGAUUGGACAAUGUAGGUAGAUGCAGUCUGGUCCCUCACCUUCUUUGGCCUCUGAAGCCACUUGGAGCUGGGCAGCUGAGGAGCCUUCUUCAGUGGCUUGAAGAGGACUGGUUGUGCAGCGGCUUUACUUGAAGUCGAGUCCAAGACGAAAUCAGCCACAUCGCUUGGAUAGGCAGGGGUUUCCACAGGAGCAACAUGGGCCCAGUGACCUGUAUGACUGGAGAAUACCGGCUCCUCUUCUCUGGUCAUGUAGGAAGCCGAGGACCAAGUGCUUGGCUGGACUGCGUUCAUAGAGUCAUACUUGGAGGCGUCAACCCCCUCUGAAUAAAGCUGUGCAGUUUCAGCAGCAGGGUAUUGAUAAACAGCCUCAUCAACAAGGUUAGGGGAAUAGCUUUGUGAACCUUCUUGUACAUCAGCUGGGAGGUCAAGGUGCAGUGAAGAGCUAGAGUAACCCCCUUUAGUGUCAGUACUAGGUACUGCUUCAGCCUCCAGAGUCUGUUUGCUAAUGGUCUGCGCUGCCUGGGCCCAGUCACCUGAAUUACUGACGUAAACCGGCUCCUCUUCUCUAGUCAUGUAGGGAGCAGAAGACCAAGUGCUGGGCUGGACCACAUUCACAGAGUUGUAGUCGGAGAGGUCACUCUGUUCUGAAGGAAGAUGUGCAGUUUCAGCAGCAGGGUAUUGAUAAACAGCCUCAUCGACAAGGUUAGGGGAAUAGCUUUGUGAACCUUCUUGUACACCAGCUGGGAGGUCAAGGUGCAGUGAAGAGCUAGAGUAACCCCCUUUAGUGUCAAUACUAGGUACUGCUUCAGCCUCCAGGAUCUGUGCGCCAAUGUUCAGAGCGGCCUGGGUCCAGUUACCUGCAUUACUGGAGAAUACCGGCUCUUCUCUGGUAAUGUAACGAUCAGAGGACCAACUGCUUGGCUGUUCCACAUUCACAGAGUCAUAGGUGUAGGGGUCAUCAUCUGAUGAAGGAAGCUGUGCAGUUUCAGCAGCUGGGUAUUGAGAAAAGUCCUCAUAGACAAGGUUAGUGCAAUAGCUUUGUGAACCUUCUUGUACACCAGCUGGGAGGUCAAGGUGCAGUGAAGAGCUAGAGUAACCCCCUUUAGUGUCAAUUCUAGGUACUGCUUCAGCCUCCAGGAUCUGUGCGCUAAUGUUCGGAGCAGCGUGGGCCCAGUUACUUAAUACCGGCUCCUCUCUAGUCAUGUAAGGAGCAGAAGACCAAGUGCUUGGCUGGACCACAUUCACCGAGUUGUAGUCAGAGAGGUCACUCUCUUCUGAAGGAAGCUGUGCAGUUUCAGCAGCAGGGUAAUGAAAAGCAUCCUCAUAGACCAGGUUAGGGGAAUAGCUUGGUGAAACAGCCUGGACAUCGAGGUACAGCGCAGAGCUGGAGUAACCCCCUUUAGUGUCAGUUCUAGAUACUACGUCAGCCUGCAGAGUCUGUGCGCUAAUGGUCGGCGCCAUGUUACCUGAAUUAAUGGAGAAUACUGGCUCCCCUCCUCCGGUCAUGUAGGAAGCAGAGGACCGACUUCUUGGCUGGUCCGCAUAGAAGUGUGAGCCCUCUUGUUCACCAGCCUGGAAGUUGAGGUUCUGGGUAGGAUUAAAGUACCCGCCACUUUUAGACACUUGUUUAGACUCCAAAGUAGGACCACUACUGAAUGCACCAUCGUCCAUCAACAGAUAUGGAGUAGGAGGGAUAAGGUCAGAGCCUGCCAGUUCUGAAGAUGGUUUGGUAGAAGGCUUAGGGAACUGAGGCUUUGCGCUGCCCCUCUGCUCCUCAAAAGAGUAAUCAUGCUGGUUGGCAGGGUUUAGAGGAAGUUUCUGGUCUUCAAUCUCAGCAUUUUUCUGUCCAAACUCCACAGCUCUGCCUCCCUGGAUCCUCGCCCCUUCCUCGGGGUUCAACAGUGCCUGCUUUGGAGCUGCAGCUAGUGGGACUUUUUUGCUUCGGUCUGAAUAUCCUUUUGCUAGGCUAUAUGCCUCAAACCUCAGAGUAUGAGAAGUUUGUAGCUCGUCAUCUUUAUCACCCCCAAUUUCAGGAUGGUCAGUCUUGGAGGUAUAGCUG
ensembl:lncRNA